rnacentral:rRNA from 1 species
UACGUAGGGUGCAAGCGUUGUCCGGAAUUAUUGGGCGUAAAGAGCUCGUAGGCGGUCUGUCGCGUCGGCUGUGAAAUCCCGGAGCUCAACUCCGGGCCUGCAGUCGAUACGGGCAGACUGGAGUUCGGCAGGGGAGACUGGAAUUCCUGGUGUAGCGGUGAAAUGCGCAGAUAUCAGGAGGAACACCGGUGGCGAAGGCGGGUCUCUGGGCAAGUAACUGACGCUGAGGAGCGAAAGCGUGGGGAGCGAACAGGA